rnacentral:misc_RNA from 1 species
GAUGAAGAACGUAGCGAAAUGCGAUAAGUAAUGCGAAUUGCAGAAUUCCAGUGAGUCAUCGAAUCUUUGAACGCACAUUGCGCCUGCCAGCACUCUGGCAGGCAUGCCUGUUCGAGCGUCAUUUCAACCAUCAAGCCCUAGGCUUGCGUUGGAGCCCUGCGGCUGCCGCAGGCCCCUAAAAGCAGUGGCGGGCUCGCUAUCACACCGAGUGCAGUAGAUUACUCUUCGCUCAGGGCGUGUGGCGGGUUCCAGCCGUGAAACCCCCUACUUCUCAAGGUUGACCUCGGAUCAGGUAGGAAUACCCGCUGAACUUAAGCAUAUCAAUAAGCGGAGGA